rnacentral:rRNA from 1 species
GAUGAACGCUGGCGGCGUGCCUAAUACAUGCAAGUCGAGCGAGCAGAUGAAGUGCUUGCACUUCUGACGUUAGCGGCGAACGGGUGAGUAACACGUAAGGAAUCUACCUAUAAGCGGGGGAUAACAUUCGGAAACGGGUGCUAAUACCGCAUAAAAUCUUCUUCCGCAUGGAAGAAGAUUGAAAGACGGCUCUGCUGUCACUUAUAGAUGACCUUGCGGUGCAUUAGUUAGUUGGUGGGGUAACGGCCUACCAAGACGAUGAUGCAUAGCCGACCUGAGAGGGUGAUCGGCCACAUUGGGACUGAGACACGGCCCAAACUCCUACGGGAGGCAGCAGUAGGGAAUCUUCCGCAAUGGGCGAAAGCCUGACGGAGCAAUGCCGCGUGAGUGAAGAAGGCCUUCGGGUCGUAAAACUCUGUUAUAAGAGAAGAACAAAUUGUAGAGUAACUGCUACAGUCUUGACGGUAUCUUAUCAGAAAGCCACGGCUAACUACGUGCCAGCCGCCGCCGUAA